rnacentral:rRNA from 1 species
CUCUUCUUGAAUAUAUUUUGAUGUAUGGCCUGCCCACUGAAUAUUGAAUGGCCGCGGUAUUUUGACCGUGCAAAGGUAGCAUAAUCAUUAGUCUUUUAAUUGUAGGCUGGAAUGAAUGGUUUGACGAGGUGUUAACUGUCUUUAAUUUUUUUUAUUGAAUUUAAAUUUUAGGUUAAAAUGCCUAAAUGGGUUUUUGGGACGAGAAGACCCUAUAGAGUUUUAUAGAUUUUUAUUUUUUUGUAUGAGAUUUUUUAAUAUAAAAAUUUAUUUUGUUGGGGUGAUGGAAAGAUUAAAUUAACUCUUUUUGUUUUUAUAUAUUUAUUUAUAUGUGUUUGAUCCAUUUUUAUUGAUUAUAAGACUAAAUUACC